rnacentral:rRNA from 1 species
AUGAUGGCUGUGGAUAAAUGGCGCGCAUACCUUCAACGGGGGCCGUUCACAAUCAUUACCGACCACAAGAGCUUGUGCAAUCUGCAGGAUCAGCAACUCGCCACCGACCUUCAACGCAAAGCAAUGGCCAAAUUGGUCGGCCUUCAGUUCAAGUUCUGUUAUCGCCGCGGCUGUGACAACGGCGCGGCCGAUGCUCUGUCUCGCGUGGGGGCAGCUUUGAACCUGGACGCGCUCUCCAUUUGUCAGCCGGCUUGGGUUCAGGAGGUGGCCAACUCCUACGCCACAGACGCCGACGCACAAGAGCGCUUGGCGCGCCUGGCCAUUCGCAGCCCGGACGACGAGGGGUUUGAGCUCUACAAGGGGCUGAUAUGCAAGCAGGAACGACUCUGGAUCGGCAAGAACACAACUCUCCGCACUAAAGUCAUCAGCGCCAUACAUGACAGUGCGGUCGGUGGGCACUCCGGCGCGACGGCCACUUAUCAGCGCGUCAAGAAACUGUUCGUCUGGGAGGGGUUGAAGUCUGAUGUUGCAGACUAUGUUCGUCAAUGCCCGGUCUGUCAGCACGCCAAGCACGAGCAGUUCAAGCCCGCGGGCAAGCUGGCGCCUCUGCCCGUGCCCACCGCGCCAUGGCGCGACCUCACAAUGGACUUUGUGGAGGGUCUGCCAGCAUCGGAAGGCUUUGAUUCAAUCAUGGUGGUGGUGGACCGGCUCACCAAGUUCGCGCAUUUCAUCCCACUCCGGCAUCCCUUCAAGGCACCACAAGUGGCUAAGGUCUUUUGGGAUCACGUCGUCAAGCUUCACGGAAUCCCAAACUCCAUCGUCUCUGACCGCGACCGCGUCUUCACCAGUGCACUGUGGCGCGAGCUCUUCGCCAGCGCGGGCACUAAAUUGCUCUAUUCCACGGCAUACCACCCCCAGACGGACGGGCAAAGCGAGAGGGUCAAUCAGUCCAUGGAGAUGUACCCGCGGUGCGCGGUGCACGAUGCGCCACGCCAAUGGCGCCGCUGGCUUCCAACCGCCGAAUUCUGGUACAAUUCUUCCUUCCAUUCCUCCAUCAAGUGUUCUCCCUUCAAGGCGCUUUACGGAGUGGAGCCGAACCUGGGCGCGCUGGCGCUCUGGGACGACAAGACGACGCCGAUCAUCGACGGCGAACCCUGGGAUUGGGGCGUGCACACGGCGCGCCUGCGCGAGCACAUCCUUCGGGCGCAGCACCGCUUCAAGAAGCAAGCCGACCAACACCGCACCGAGCGCUCCUUCGAAGUGGGUGACUCCGUGCUCUUGAAGCUCCAGCCCUAUGCCCAGUCUUCGGUGGCCAACAAACCAUGCGCCAAGUUGGCAUACAAGUACUUCGGCCCGUUCACGGUGCUCGCCAAGAUAGGCAACCUCGCUUACAAGUUGGAGCUUCCAAUGGACAGCAAGAUCCACCCAGUCUUCCAUGUGUCACAGCUCAAGCCCUUCACUCCCAAGUACACUCCAGUCUUCGCCGAUCUGCGGCGGCCCCCGGACCUCGCCGGAACUGCUGAUGAGCCAAUGGAGAUCGUCGAACGCCGCAUGGUCAAGCACGGCAACAACGCUCUGGUGCAGGUCAGAAUUCGUUGGAAGAACGACGCCACGGCCACGACUUGGGAAGAUUACGACACUCUUCGCCAUCGCUUUCCGCAAGCUUCCGUGUGGGAUGCACCGGCAGCCAGCAACAGCGAUCACCACCAAGCUACUGAAGACGGCGCCAGUUCUCAAGGGAUGGGGAAUGUCACACCUACAUCACCGGUGGUGGAUGCGGUGGACGAGUGA